CUUCUUCAGCUCCCUCGUGCAACGUACUGAUGCCGGAGCCGGAAGAUGACAUCAUCUUCCGGCUCCGGCAUCAGUACGGUGCGAGAGGGAGCUGAAGAGGA